AACGAACGCUGGCGGCAGGCUUAACACAUGCAAGUCGAGCGCCUCGCCAGAGGAGCGGCAGACGGGUGAGUAACGCGUGGGAACGUACCCUUAUCUUCGGAAUAGCUCUGGGAAACUGGAAGUAAUACCGAAUGUGCCCUUAGGGGGAAAGAUUUAUCGGAUAAGGAUCGGCCCGCGUGGGAUUAGCUAGUUGGUGGGGUAAAGGCCUACCAAGGCGACGAUCCAUAGCUGGUCUGAGAGGAUGAUCAGCCACAUUGGGACUGAGACACGGCCCAAACUCCUACGGGAGGCAGCAGUGGGGAAUAUUGGAAAAUGGGCGCAAGCAUGAUCCAGCCAUGCCGCGUGAGUGAUGAAGGCCUUAGGGUUGUAAAGCUCUUUCACCGGAGAAGAUAAUGACGGUACCCGGAGAAGAAGCCCCGGCUAACUUCGUG
rnacentral:rRNA from 1 species